rfam:Salmo salar isolate Sally breed double haploid chromosome ssa15, whole genome shotgun sequence.
UGCAUUCACUACUGUAAGUCGCUCUGGAUAAGAGCGUCUUCUAAAUGACUAAAA